rnacentral:rRNA from 1 species
ACGCUGGCGGCGUGCCUAAUACAUGCAAGUAGAACGCUGAAGAGAGGAGCUUGCUCUUCUUGGAUGAGUUGCGAACGGGUGAGUAACGCGUAGGUAACCUGCCUUGUAGCGGGGGAUAACUAUUGGAAACGAUAGCUAAUACCGCAUAACAAUGGGUGACACAUGUCAUUUAUUUGAAAGGGGCAAUUGCUCCACUACAAGAUGGACCUGCGUUGUAUUAGCUAGUAGGUGAGGUAACGGCUCACCUAGGCGACGAUACAUAGCCGACCUGAGAGGGUGAUCGGCCACACUGGGACUGAGACACGGCCCAGACUCCUACGGGAGGCAGCAGUAGGGAAUCUUCGGCAAUGGGGGCAACCCUGACCGAGCAACGCCGCGUGAGUGAAGAAGGUUUUCGGAUCGUAAAGCUCUGUCGUAAGGCAAGAACGAGUGUGAGAGUGGAAAGUUCACACUGUGACGGUAGCUUACCAGAAAGGGACGGCUAACUACGUGCCAGCAGCCGCGGUAAUACGUAGGUCCCGAGCGUUGUCCGGAUUUAUUGGGCGUAAAGCGAGCGCAGGCGGUUUGAUAAGUCUGAAGUUAAAGGCUGUGGCUCAACCAUAGUUCGCUUUGGAAACUGUCAAACUUGAGUGCAGAAGGGGAGAGUGGAAUUCCAUGUGUAGCGGUGAAAUGCGUAGAUAUAUGGAGGAACACCGGUGGCGAAAGCGGCUCUCUGGUCUGUAACUGACGCUGAGGCUCGAAAGCGUGGGGAGCGAACAGGAUUAGAUACCCUGGUAGUCCACGCCGUAAACGAUGAGUGCUAGGUGUUGGAUCCUUUCCGGGAUUCAGUGCCGCAGCUAACGCAUUAAGCACUCCGCCUGGGGAGUACGACCGCAAGGUUGAAACUCAAAGGAAUUGACGGGGGCCCGC